GCCCUGGUGGCGCUGUGGCUCGUCUCCUUCCUGGUGGGCUUCCUGCCCGGGAUGGUGCGCGAGCUGCAGCAGAGCGACUACAAAGGCUUCUGC
rnacentral:miRNA from 1 species